rnacentral:snoRNA from 1 species
GCACCUCACAACAACCCUGUCAUUCCUGGUCAGUGACUGAUGUGGGUAAUGCUGGUGCCAUAGAGACUCAAUGUAAAUCCAGACGGACCUCCUCUUCCUGUGGGGGCUGUCUCUACAACUUUGAUACAUAU